rnacentral:rRNA from 1 species
GAUGAACGCUGGCGGCGUGCCUAAUACAUGCAAGUCGAGCGAACGGACGAGAAGCUUGCUUCUCUGAUGUUAGCGGCGGACGGGAGAGUAACACGUGGAUAACCUACCUAUAAGACUGGGAAAAUUUGGGGAAACGGGAGAUAAUACGGGAUAAGAUUUUGAACCGCAUGGUGCAAAGGUGAAAGACGGUCUUGCUGUCACUAAUAGAUGGAUCCGAGCUGCAUUGGCUAGUUGGUAAGGUAACGGCUUACUAAGGCAACGAUGCAUGGCCGACGGGAGGGGGUGAUCGCCCACACUGGAGCGGAGACACGGUCCAGACUACUGCGGGACGCAGCAGUAGCGAAUGUGCGGCAGUGGGCGAAAGCAUGACGGAGCAACGCCGAGUGAGUGAUGAAGGUCCUCGGAGCGUAAUGCUCUGUUAUGAGUGAUGAACAGAUUUGGAAGUAAAUGUGGACAGCGUGACGGUACCGAAUCAGGAAGCAACGGCUAACUACGUG